rnacentral:rRNA from 1 species
GAUGAACGCUGGCGGCGUGCUUAAUACAUGCAAGUCGAGCGAACGGACGAGAAGCUUGCUUUUCUGAUGUUAGCGGCGGACGGGUGAGUAACACGUGGAUAACCUACCUUUAAGACUGGGAUAACUUCGGGAAACCGGAGCUAAUACCGGAUAAUAUUUUGAACCGCAUGGUUCAAAAGUGAAAGACGGUCUUGCUGUCACUUAUAGAUGGAUCCGCGCUGCAUUAGCUAGUUGGUAAGGUAACGGCUUACCAAGGCAACGAUGCAUAGCCGACCUGAGAGGGUGAUCGGCCACACUGGAACUGAGACACGGUCCAGACUCCUACGGGAGGCAGCAGUAGGGAAUCUUCCGCAAUGGGCGAAAGCCUGACGGAGCAACGCCGCGUGAGUGAUGAAGGUCUUCGGAUCGUAAAACUCUGUUAUUAGGGAAGAACAUAUGUGUAAGUAACUGUGCACAUCUUGACGGUACCUAAUCAGAAAGCCACGGCUAACUACGUG